CACGGGUGAGUAACGCGUAGAUAACCUGUCUUCAUGUCUGGAAUAAUACGCCAAAGGGGUACUAAUACCGGAUAUUCUUGACUUUUCAUAAGUUAUGCAAGCAAAGGUGGCCUCUGCAUAUGCUACUGCAUGAAGAGGGGUCUGCGUACCAUUAGCUAGUAGGUGGGGUAAUGGCCUACCUAGGCGACGAUGGUUAGCGGGUCUGAGAGGAUGAUUCCGCCACACUGGCACUGGAACACGGGCCAGACUCCUACGGGAGGCAGCAGUGAGGAAUAUUGCGCAAUGGGGGAAACCCUGACGCAGCGACGCCGCGUGAGUUGAGGAAGGCCUUCGGGUCGUAAAGCUCUGUCAAGAGGAAAGAAGUGUACAAUGGCUAAUACCUGUUGUAUUUGACGGUACCUCUAAAGGAAGCACCGGCUAACUCCGUGCCAGCCGCCGC
rnacentral:rRNA from 1 species